UACGAUUGUUACUUACUAUUUGCUGUGU
rnacentral:sRNA from 1 species